AGGGGAAAUUACCCGCGGGGAAGCAUCCAGGCACAUCCUAAUCCUGCCCCCCUCUCGCACACCCCACGCUCCCGGCUCCGAGCCCCCCCGGGGUCCGGCUUUCCGAGGAGGAAAAACAGCGUGCGAGGGCAAGCACAGCGGCACGCAGAGCCGCAGCGAGUGGGCACAGAUUCCCUGAGGCUGGGCUGGCUUGUCCUUGCUGUGGGAGCUGCGACCAACAGGCCUUGGCUGUCACCUGGACACCUCCGCCUACCCGGGAAGCUCCGGGGGUUCCCUUGUGCUGGCAACGCCUGCCCCUCACAAGGUAAAAGAGCUGCCUCUCCUCCAUCUCCCGGUCACUACAAUUUUGUCUGUGCCCAGAGCCCCGGUGCUCCUCCAGGAUGUGAGCGGUGGCAUCACAGAACAAAGCUUGCAGGGAACAGGAUGCUGAGACCAUGCCUGGACAGUGAAGCCCCACACUGGCAAAACUGGUGGAAGAGAUCCCUUGUCUGAAAGGAAGGACAGUGUCUCCUGAAGGUUUGCUGGGUCAGCUGAGCUUUGAGUGGGAUGCAGGACACCACCUGCUCCCCACUGGCCAGAGAAGGGGUGUGCAGAAGAGGAAAGGAAAGGUGGAGAGAGCGGUACAUGAAAAGCCUAAGCAAACUCUAUUCUUCCAUGUCGGAAAGCAAGAAAACACAGAAUAUGCACAUGGGGUGCGGAGGGCGGCUGUUCUUGGAGGGAGAGGAGAGGAGAUGAGCAUGGCAGAUGGCAGGGUUUAGGGUCAGUUACUCUUAACUGCAACUGCAGCAAAAGCAAUCAGCACUAGUUAGAAGAAUACAUCAAGGAUCUGUGUGUGUUUAAGUGCAUUUGUGGGUGUGUGCACGUACAGCUGGUCUGUUGCAGCGUGCAUGCAUAUGUGUGUGUCGGGAGGGAAGGGGAGCUGGGACUGUACAUUGCUUAAAGAAAGCCAUUUCAGCUCUGGUUUAAUUUGAAAUACACAGCUUCUGGUGGGAAUGGAGUUGAAGAUUUUGUAUUCCACUUUAAAAUAGUAAAUGUUGUGUAUUCAAAGA